rnacentral:rRNA from 1 species
UACGUAGGGGGCUAGCGUUGUCCGGAAUCAUUGGGCGUAAAGAGCGUGUAGGCGGUCCGGUAAGUCCGUUGUGAAAGUCAGGGGCUCAACCCUUGAAUGCCGGCGGAUACUGUCGGGCUAGAGUCCGGAAGAGGCAAGUGGAAUUCCCGGUGUAGCGGUGAAAUGCGCAGAUAUCGGGAGGAACACCAGUAGCGAAGGCGGCACUCUGGGCCGGUACUGACGCUGAGGAGCGAAAGCGUGGGGAGCGAACAGG